rnacentral:rRNA from 1 species
UACGAAGGGGGGCUAGCGUUGCUCGGAUUGACUGGGCGUAAAGGGCGCGUAGGCGGUUCGUACAGUCAGACGUGAAAUUCCUGGGCUCAACCUGGGGGCUGCGUUUGAUACGUGCGGACUUGAGUGCGGAAGAGGGUCGUGGAAUUCCCAGUGUAGAGGUGAAAUUCGUAGAUAUUGGGAAGAACACCCGUGGCGAAGGCGGCUCUCUGGGACGGUACUGACGCUGAGACGCGAAAGCGUGGGGAGCGAACAGG